rnacentral:lncRNA from 1 species
CCAAAGGCAAGACAGAAAGACAGAUAGAAAUUGGUUCUCUGGAAUUACUGAGAGGGUCGACCCAAGAAGAAGUUGAGUCGACCCAAGUGGACUUUGAGUCGACCCAAAGAAUGGUUGGGUCGACCCAUGGGAAGGAAGGCUGAAAUUGAAGUUUCUGUGGUUUCUGAGAGGGUCGACCCAAGGAAUGUUUGAGUCGACCCAAGGCAAAGUUGGGUCGACCCAAGGACAGGUUGAGCCGACCCAAACACGGGCUGAACAGUAACGGCUAGUUCUGCAACUGUACUUUUUGUCCUUCCCAAGGUGAGUAAUGGCUAGUUUUUCAAAUCUAACCAUUGGGACUUGUCCUAAGAAGGUGGGAAGCUAUUUAAAGGGGCACUAUUCAUCAGAGAGAAUAACUUUUGAGUUGAAUAUCAAAGAGUACCCAAGAAUACAAAAGUGCCCUAAUCUUCUUCAUCAAGAGCUUCAUUCAAGAAUCAAAGAAAGGAAUUGAGCAGAUUCAAAGAGGCAUCAAGAGCU